rnacentral:rRNA from 1 species
UACGAAGGGGGCUAGCGUUGCUCGGAAUCACUGGGCGUAAAGGGUGCGUAGGCGGGUCUUUAAGUCAGAGGUGAAAUCCUGGAGCUCAACUCCAGAACUGCCUUUGAUACUGAGGAUCUCGAGUCCGGGAGAGGUGAGUGGAACUGCGAGUGUAGAGGUGAAAUUCGUAGAUAUUCGCAAGAACACCAGUGGCGAAGGCGGCUCACUGGCCCGGUACUGACGCUGAGGUGCGAAAGCGUGGGGAGCAAACAGG